GUUCUCAGAGGUAGCUCAUGUGAGCCAGCAGUGACAUCUGUACAUGCAGUAGCCUCAAAAUACUGAUUAUUUAUUCUCCUGCUAGCAGUGGAGGAGACUUCUGCUGAGGAAGAGGCCCUGCUGUCCUGCCGUCUUACUGGUGCCAUUGAGGGAUCAGCGGCUGCUAUAUAUUCUCCUCGACCUCGAGUAUUUGGACUGAAGGACUCACAGACACGUUUUAUAUUUAGCUCUAUACAUUUUAAAAAGAUUUUUUAAAAAUAUUUUCUUAUUCACAAAGGCUGUAUGGAGACAUUUUGGUUAUUGCCACAGACGCUUUCUCUUACUACGGAUGGAGGAUGUUGCGGUUUUACAACCCAUGAACUGAGAAACGACUCAAUAAGUAAUAUGUUCACAUAUUCCAGUGUUAAACACAAGUGAGUCUCAAUUGAGUGAAGUGUUGGUAACUGAUGCCAAUAUUUUUCUUCUGUUUAAAUCCCAUUCAUAUAAGGGACCCUAAUUUUAUCCUGCUACAAACAUAUUCACCCAGUGUCAUUUAAGUUUCCUGUAAACUACACAUGUAAAGCGGAU
ensembl:lncRNA